UCAAGGAAGGCUUCUCCAAGGAAAUGAACCUUACGCACAGAGCUGAAGGAUGGGAAGCCAUUAACUAGAUAAAGGGGAGGCUGGGAACAAGGUGGCCAAAAGUAUAGCAUGAAGACGUCAGAGAAUGCAGAGUAGCUGGCUUGUCCUGGAGACCAUGUUUGGGAUUUGGGCUCUGUCCUAAGAGUGAUGGGAAAUCACUGAAGGAUUACAAGCAGGGUGAUAGCAAAAAAUAUAUUUGCUUUUUUUUUUCUUGAUGUUUAUGUUCAAAGAACUAUCAUGGUUUUUCAUGGUAGAUGCCUUGGAUAAUCCUUUGAAGGAAGAUCAUUUCGUCCAACAUAACAAAACGAUAUCCUUCAUGUACUGAUGGAAACACUGGCAGCACAUAUGGAGGCCAUAUUUCUGGAUCAGACCUUGCGGGUUUGAACAGACUCAACGAGAGAGAGAACCCUGGCCGAAUUUUCACAGGUGGCUCCAGGACAGCUGCUGGUGACCCAUCUUGCUCUCAGGAGUGCAACGAGGUGCAGGCUCAAACUAGAAUCCACUGAAUGCCCAAGCUUGCCAAUUGGAAAACUUCCAUUAUCAGCAGGUGCAACCAGGUCAGCUUCCCUAGCACCUAACCCACCCCAGUGCCAAAUACUAGACCUCCCAAUCCUCU
rnacentral:lncRNA from 13 species